CUCGGGGUUACAGCCUUGCUGAAUUAUUCACCCUUGUCUUUUGCGUACUUCUUGUUUCCUUGGUGGGUUCGCCCACCACUAGGACAAACAUAAACCUUUUGUAAUUGCAAUCAGCGUCAGUAACAAAUUAAUAAUUACAACUUUCAACAACGGAUCUCUUGGUUCUGGCAUCGAUGAAGAACGCAGCGAAAUGCGAUAAGUAGUGUGAAUUGCAGAAUUCAGUGAAUCAUCGAAUCUUUGAACGCACAUUGCGCCCUUUGGUAUUCCAAAGGGCAUGCCUGUUCGAGCGUCAUUUGUACCCUCAAGCUUUGCUUGGUGUUGGGCGUCUUGUCUCUAGCUUUGCUGGAGACUCGCCUUAAAGUAAUUGGCAGCCGGCCUACUGGUUUCGGAGCGCAGCACAAGUCGCACUCUCUAUCAGCAAAGGUCUAGCAUCCAUUAAGCCUUUUUUUCAACUUUUGACCUCGGAUCAGGUAGGGAUACCCGCUGAACUUAAGCAUAUCA
rnacentral:rRNA from 1 species